UACGUAGGGUGCGAGCGUUGUUCGGAAUCACUGGGCGUAAAGGGCGUGUAGGCGGUCAAGUAAGUGGAAUGUGAAAGCCCCCGGCUUACCCGGGGAUCUGCAUCCCAAACUGCUUGGCUUGAGUACGGGAGAGGAUAGGGGAAUUCCUGGUGUAGCGGUGAAAUGCGUAGAUAUCAGGAGGAACACCGGUGGCGAAGGCGGCUUUCUGGACAGAAACUGACGCUGAGGCGCGAAAGCUAGGGGAGCAAACAGG
rnacentral:rRNA from 1 species